rnacentral:rRNA from 1 species
GUAAAAGCCAGGGAGGGAGCUGCGGUAAACCGGAGGGGGAGAGCGUUAAUCGGAAUUACUGGGCGGAAGGCGAACGCAGGCGGUUGGAUAAGUUAGAUGUGAAAGCCCCGGGCUCAACCUGGGAAUUGCAUUUAAAACUGUCCAGCUAGAGUCUUGUAGAGGGGGGUAGAAUUCCAGGUGUAGCGGUGAAAUGCGUAGAGAUCUGGAGGAAUACCGGUGGCGAAGGCGGCCCCCUGGACAAAGACUGACGCUCAGGUGCGAAAGCGUGGGGAGCAAACAGGAUUAGAUACCCCUGUAGUC